rnacentral:tRNA from 3 species
GGAAGGAUGGCAGAGCGGUCGAAUGCGGCGGUCUUGAAAACCGUUGAAGUGAAAGCUUCCGGGGGUUCGAAUCCCUCUCCUUCCGCCA